UUAAAUAAAGCCAGCUGGAGCCACCAACACACCCUGACAGCAAAGAGAAGAAGAAGAAUGAGAGUCUUGCAGAGGGCCCUCGCCCACCAAGGUUUUCAUGCUGUGUGUCCCUACAGGCCAGGCUUCUCCCCUCUCAGCUUGUGUUGGCCUCCUCUCAGCUGACUCUCUGCCUGGGAAAAUGUCCCAGUGUUCAUAGAGGAAAGGACUGGAUGAUAAGAGGAAGGCGGAGAACUCCACCAAUCGGAGUUUGGAUGUACCGAUGGAACGGCCCUGCCAUGCUGGUGCCGUGGGAGCUGGAGCUGCUGUGGGCUCGUAACCUGCAGUAACACAACACCAUAACAAUAAAAGAUCCAUCCUGUCUGUGGGUUGUUUUACAGCACAGCAUGGAUACGUUAAGUUUUAAGACACUAUAACAAAAAUUGAUGUCAUGUUAGAGAUAUUGUUUCAGAGGUUUUAGAGACAUCUGCUGAGAGUCAGGUUUGUUUAUGUUGUCCCGAUGUUAUUACUGGCAACAGCUCUCAUUAUUUCUACUUAUUUAUGUGCAAAUUACAGCUGCACACCAUGAGACCAGUUUUUUGGUCAGACAUAACAUGUCAUCACAUUCAUUAUUUUUUUCUUAUUUCCAAAAUGUUUGUAAGUAACUACAAAAUAUUCAAGAAAGAAAUAACAAACACAACUGAAACUGGGAAAAAUAUCAAUUUUUAUGACCAAGUUAUUUUCAACAUUUGUUUUCCGAUUUGUGUUCAAGUAUAAUCAAUAAUAGCCUUGUGAUUUAAUUGAAAAUAGAUGCCAUCACAUGGCGUAACAACAGAUGUUUUGAUUUCAGAUAUUAAAUCAGAUAAUUUCUGUUUUCACUCUGAUGCAGGAGCAGCCAUCUAAUUUACGAUCAAUCCUACACAUGGAUAAGAAAAAAAACAGUUGUCUGUGCACGACUUGUGAUUCAGAUGUUGGAUUUUCUUUUUUUUUUCUCCGUCUAUUUUUUAUGAGAAGUUUUAAGAGAAAGAAGAUAUUCCUGAAUGUGUUGCAUCAAAGGAUUCUCUGCAGAUUGAAAUUUGUGCAACAUUAAGUGUUUGAAAGAGCUAAAAAUAAACU